UGUUCCUUAAAUAGGGACUUGUAUCAACGGCAUCACGAGGGUUUUACUGUCUCCCCCCUCUAAUCAGUGAAAUUGACCUCCCCGUGAAGAGGCGAGGAUAUAACUACAAGACGAGAAGACCCCAUGGAGCUUUAAACCCAAUGACAGCUUCCACUUAACUACACCUACACAAAUACGAAGCAGUGUACACUGGUUUUAGGUUGGGGUGACCACGGAGCAAAACUAAACCUCCAUGACGAACGGAAACAUCCUUAUCCACGAGCUACUACUCUAAGAAUCAAAAAUUUGACGCAACAUGAUCCGGCAACCGAUCAACGAACCAAGUUACCCUGGGGAUAACAGCGCAAUCCAUUUCAAGAGCCCCUAUCGACAAAUGGGUUUACGACCUCGAUGUUGGAUCAGGGUUUCCCAGUGGUGCAGCCGCUACUAAAGGUUUGUUUGUUCAACAAUUAAAAC
rnacentral:rRNA from 1 species